UUAACAAUUGUUUGGUACUCGGACAACACAAAAUCAAGAGUUUAGGGUAUGUCCUCUGGCAGGCACUGACCAGCAGAAGCCGGUGGUCAAAACGACGGGCUUGCCAAGGCAACAAAGGUAGUGUAAACAAAGGGUGGGAGAUCUACCCUCAGGGCAGGUUCUCUGUAAUGAUCCUUCCGCAGGUUCACCUACGGAAA
rnacentral:misc_RNA from 1 species